rnacentral:rRNA from 1 species
AGGGCGCAGGGCGAAUGCCUUGGCACUGGGAGCCGAUGAAAGACGUGAUAAGCUGCGAUAAGCUUCGGGGAGCUGCAAAUAAGCAUUGAUCCGGAGAUUUCUGAAUGAGGAAACUCACCUGGGUUCAUACUCAGGUACGUUAUACUGAACUUCAAAAUAGGUAUAUCGAGGGAACCGCCUGAACUGAAACAUCUAAGUAGGGCGAGGAAGAGACAUCAAACGAGAUUCCGUAAGUAGUGGCGAGCGAACGCGGAAGAGGGCAAACCGAGAGUAGAAAUACUUUCGGGGUACGGACUGCUUUUAGGACUUAAUCUGUUAACCGAACGGCAUGGGAAGGCCGGUCAGAGAGUGUGAGAACCACGUAGGUGAAAACGGAGAGAGCUGCGCAGGAUCCAGAGUACGGCCAGACACGUGAAACCUGGUCGGAAUACGGGGGGACCACCCUCCAACCCUAAAUACUACCCAGUGACCGAUAGCGUAUAGUACUGUGAAGGAAAGGUGAAAAGCACCCCGGGAGGGGAGUGAAAAAGAACCUGAAACCCUGUGCCUACAAGCACCUAGAGCGCGUCAAAGCGUGAUAGGGUACUUUUUGUAGAACGGUCCGGCGAGCGAUUGUAUGCAGCAAGGUUAAGGACUUAAGGUCUGGAGCCGAAGCGAAAGCGAGUUUGAAAAGGGCGUUAAGUUGCAUAUAAUGGGCCCGAAACCGGGUGACCUACCCAUGGUCAGGUUGAAGUGGAAGUAAAAUUCCAUGGAGGACCGAACCGACCUCCGUUGAAAAGGCGGCGGAUGAACUGUGGGUAGCGGAGAAAUUCCAAUCGAACCCGGAGAUAGCUGGUUCUCCCCGAAAUAGUUUUAGGACUAGCCUCAAGUUAGAUACCUGGAGGUAAAGCACUGAAUAGCCUAGCGGCCGAGAGGUUAGCGAAGCUUAUCAAACUCAGAAUGCCAGAGUAUUGAUGCUUGGGAGUCAGACAGUGUCAGAUAAAUGUCAUUGUCAAAAGGGAAACAGCCCAGAUCUACAGCUAAGGUCCCAAAGUCAGGUUAAGUGGAAAACGAUGUGAAGAUACGCAGACAACCAGGAUGUUGGCUCAGAAGCAGCCACUCAUUCAAAGAGUGCGUAAUAGCUCACUGGUCGAGCGUCUUUGCGCGGAGAAUUUAACGGGGCUAAACCUGACACCGAAGCUUAGGCAAUACAGCAAUGUAUUGGGUAGGGGAGCGUUGUAUACGCGGUGAAACAGUAGCGCAAGCGGCUGUGGAGUGUAUAGAAGUGAGAAUGCCGGAAUGAGUAGCGCGAAUGCAGUGAGAAUCUGCAUGGCCGAAAGCCUCAGGUUUCUGGAGGAAGGUUCGUCCGCUCCAGGUUAGUCGGGAGCUAAGGUGAGGCCUAACGGCGUAGCCGAUGCACAGACGGUAGAGAUUCCGUCACCACCAAAAGAGUUAAACACAGGGACACAUAUGAAGUCUCGGAGCCGGGUGUUGGUUCCGGUAGCGAUCGAGGGAAAUUAGUACCGAAGUCCGGGAUGGAAGAUGGCGAGAAAAGCUGUGUGUAUUUCUGCGGUGCCCGUACCGCAAACCGACACAGGUAGGUAGGAAGAAGAUUCUAAGGCCAACGGGAGAAGGGUUGUUAAGGAACUCGGCAAAUUGACCCCGUAACUUCGGGAGAAGGGGUGCUCCAGAGAUGGAGCCGCAGAGAAUCGGCCCAAGCAACUGUUUACCAAAAACACAGGUUUGUGCUAAAUCGAAAGAUGACGUAUACGAGCUGACGCCUGCCCGGUGCUGGAAGGUUAAGAGGAGAUGUGCAAGCAUUGAAUCGAAGCCCCAGUGAACGGCGGCCGUAACUAUAACGGUCCUAAGGUAGCGAAAUUCCUUGUCAGGUAAGUUCUGACCCGCAUGAAAGGCGUAAUGAUUUGGGCACUGUCUCAACAGCCCGCCCGGCGAAAUUGUAGUACCGGUGAAGAUGCCGGUUACCCGCGACAAGACGGAAAGACCCCAUGGAGCUUUACUGUAGCCUAAUAUUGGGUUUCGAUGUUGCAUGCACAGGAUAGAUGGGACACUGGGAAGCAGGUGCUUUGGCGCUUGUGGAGUGGCCGUUGGGAUACCAUCCUUGCGAUAUUGGAAUUCUAACCUGCGCCUUUGAAUCAAGGCGGGGGACAUUGUUAGGUGGGCAGUUUGACUGGGGCGGUCGCCUCCUAAAGAGUAACGGAGGCGUUCAAAGGUUCGCUCAGCUUGAACGGAAAUCAAGCAAAAGAGUGCAAACGCAGAAGCGAGCCUAACUGCGAGACUGACGGGUCGAGCAGUAACGAAAGUUGGAGUUAGUGAUCCGGUGGUAUGUGAGUGGAAAUGCCAUCGCUCAACGGAUAAAAGUUACCCUGGGGAUAACAGGCUGAUCUCCCCCAAGAGUCCACAUCGACGGGGAGGUUUGGCACCUCGAUGUCGGCUCAUC